AACCAUAGGCGGUGCAGAAGCAGAGGCCCCAGUUUUAGAUGAAAGGGAAUCAAUCUCAUGCUACACAUUCCCAUGGUAUGUCAACAUGCUGUGCUCUAGAGAGCCCAAUUUCUAGCUGUAUCGCUGUUCAGAUGUGCACUGAACAAACACUGUGCCGUGCAUGCAGCAAAACUCCCUGCGAUGCACACUGCUAUGCCUUGCUCCUAGAGGCCUGUGAAAAUGAUGGUUUGGCUUCAGCUAACUUUCUUCUGUUCUAAAAAGGCAUUUGCUUCAGUUUACCCACAGUGCAUCUUUUUCCUGCAAGGCUGGAAUAAAUUACUACAACACGGUCCUUGAUUUCAGCCUCUCCUCCCUGUGAAAUGCAUCAUCACAGAAAAAUCACCCAAAACGCUGCUUCAAACUUUUAUCUUCCUACUAGCUCAAACUGAAAACAGUUUUUCAUCUCUUACUUUGAAAAGCUCCAGGUGUGUGGAACAGUAGCAUGCUUGCUUCUCCGUUCUCGGGGCUGAUAUUCUUUCUACACUGGAAUAAAAAUAUUUUAUUUUACAGUUGUGUUGUUUUUGUUUCCCAUUUCUCCGUAUUUCACUUGUGCAGUUGCAACAGGCUGAAUGAGAAAUCGCCUUUACACAGGUAACAGCGCUCUUGGACACGGUCACUUCAAACCAAGAUGAAUUCUGCUCAUCUACGUGCAUACCAACACUGUGAGCAGUGGAACUUGACCAAUCCAACCAUCACUUGGACACCAAGAUUUAAAUAACACUGCAAAACAGAAGCAGUACCACAGGCUCAUUUUUAUCUACUUAGUCCUCAUCUAACAGAACAGGGGCAGCCAAGUUCUCCAAGCUUGCCUCCCACCACAUACAGUGCAUGUCUGUCACCAGCAUUUAAGGGCAGGUGGCCCUAUCUUCUCAAGGCCCUUCUGACAUUUGCAAUAGCUACAACAGCCCACAGGUACCAGUAGAAAUGGUAUGUUGUUUUUUAUCGCUCUUUUUACACUCCCCCAGGCUAUUUCAGUAGGCAUUUCGGUAGUUACCAGACAAAGGAGAAGGAUUACUGUUUCAAGCUUUUUUCUUCAAGCUUUAAAAAAAAAAAAAAACAAACAAACACGGAAUGACUAAUAUUAAGUACAUUAGUCUGUCAGCCUUUUACCAAAC
ensembl:lncRNA